rnacentral:rRNA from 1 species
GACGAACGCUGGCGGCGUGCUUCAUACAUGCAAGUCGAACGAGAAGCUGACUUCGGUCAGUGGAAAGUGGCGGACGGGUGAGUAAUAUGUAGGAAAUCUGCCUUUAGGAGGGGGACAACAGAGGGAAACUUCUGCUAAUACCCCAUAUGAGCGUAGCUGAAAUGCUAUUCUUGAAAACUCCGGUGCCUAAAGAUGAGCCUGCAUCUGAUUAGCUAGUUGGUAGUGUAAUGGACUACCAAGGCGACGAUCAGUAGCUGGUUUGAGAGGAUGAUCAGCCACAAUGGGACUGAGACACGGCCCAUACUCCUACGGGAGGCAGCAGUAGGAAAUUUUGCGCAAUGGGCGAAAGCCUGACGCAGCAACGCCGCGUGAACGAUUAAGCCCUUCGGGGUGUAAAGUUCUGUCAGUGGGGACGAAACUUGACGGUACCCACAGAGGAAGCACCGGCUAACUCCGUG